AAUCAUCGUAAGCAAUCAUUGGUGCAUCAUGACCACUGGACCCACCCCAACCUGCAUAACUCACAGAUUUAUAAACAGCAUCACGUUCAGCAGCAUUUUGAUAUGGAUCAUGGAUUCAACGGCUGUAGUAGUGAAGAUAUUAAAGACAAACAGCAAUGGCAAUUCAAACAGUUUUUAGACGACAGAAAUUUGGAAAUGUGGAAAAGCGAUAACAGGGAUGGAUCAAAGAUAUGGUCAUUAAAAGUGAGCAAUGUUAGAAGGAUGGAGGCAUUUGAGAUGUGGUUCUAGAAAAUGAUGGAUUGCAUAAACUUAUGCAAACCAAAGGUCAACCUUCUUUUAUUUCAUUUAUAAAUUGAUAUUAGACAAAAGGAUAUGAAACAUUCAUGGUAAUGGCUUAAUCAAGUAAGUAAUCGAAGGAAGAGUUGAAGAUAAAACAUCUAAGAAAAGCAAAAGGAUUGAAAAGAUAAAUUACUAUAAA